GCAUGUGGAUGCUCCAAAAAGAGCUUAUGCAGCAACAGCAGCGGCGGAUGCUCGAGGCAUCUGCUGACCAAUAACGAGAUACAGCUGUGUUCGGCUCUGAGCCUGCCGGCGGCGCAGUACGUGACGAUGAAGGGCGUGCUGCUGCGGCGCGCGGCGGCGCCCGACUGCGAGCUGGACCUGGCCGUGCGACAGUACCUGGCGGCCGCCGGCUGGGUGCCCAACUAGACACGCGGCCUGUCUCACGCCGAGCGGCGACCUCUACACCCGAACUGCAGCCGAACAAUGCCGACAACAGCCGAAUGCUGCACAGCGAAACACAAUCUACAAGUACGCCGUACGCGCUGUCAAAUCAGUUUGUUUUUUUUACACGAGUUGACUUACGUGUAUUUAUAAGGUAUGAACGUAAUUAAAAUGUUUAAAUGAAUGCUUCUUGGUUAACUGCGGUUUUGAUGUAAGCUAUAAAUAUUUAACGUAAUUCGGGUUUCGUCAAUGUCAUGUGAUGCACUGAUUGUAGAUCGCUAGCUUUGUAUUUAUUGUAGUCUUUUAACGUAGGGAUGUCACGGUAAACUUGGUAUUAAAUUAUUGGUUGGGUGUAAAUAAGAGUUAUUGUCACCUUGUAAAACAACAUAAAGUUUUGACAGCGCGUACACAGCGGUAUGUAUUCACUGCGGUAUACGGUUCAUAUUGGUAAUUGGUUAUCCGACGGUUGUGAAACAGGUCUUUCCCUAGGAUAUAUUGAUAUAUUGUUUCUAUCUUACAAAAUAUAAGUACUUGUUAACAGUUUCAUAGAAGAAUCUUAGUAAAGACGCAAAUGUUCCAAGUUAUGCAAGUCUUUAGGUGCUUGUUACGUUUCCUUAGAACAGUGAUCCUUCUUUAGUUAGAUAAAUUGACAGCCUGUCAAUGUACGAUUUUACACGAAGAUAACCUCAUGUUGUAAAACUGCUCUCAUAGAGCAUUGUAAAUAUUGUAUGUCAGUGUAUAUACGGUUUUAUUUUAUUUCUCGGCUGUGCUUGACUUAGAGAGACGGGAAGCUUAUCAAGGGACAUUGUUUGCGAAUUCGAGGUAUCACCCUGUUGGUUAGCGGAGUUCAUGUAGUUGUGUGGAAGCAGGGCGGAUUAUCUGAUAAAUCUAACAAACACCACUUAUCUGUGUUUGUUCUUGUCCCGCGGUUAUUCACCUCGCGAAACUUGUUAUGAAAUGCAAUCUAAUCAGAACUAUUAUGCGCUCAUUUCUACCUACAUCAGUUAGUACAUGUCAAGAGACAAUUCUCUUCACAAUUACUAAAAUUUGAGCUAUUGUAAACAACAUUUUUACAUAAUGGGUCGAAUUCGUAGAUAUUGUAUAGGGUUAGAAUUUCAUUAAUCUCUGAAAAUAUUUUGUAAUCAAACGUAAACAUGCACAGUCGGGUAUCGUUUUCAAAAAUGUAAUUUUAGAUGCCAGGUAUUACAGCAAUAAAAAGCAUCUAGCUAUUUUGAUAGCCAAAAUUAUAUUGUAUAGGCUUAGUUAAUGGAGUAACGUACAAAUUAUGCUGGAAGUAUAUGAGGCAAUCUCUAGAAAUUUUGAUUUUUAAAGAUGUAAAUUAGGCAAAGAUUUCGUGUUUAGUAGGUAUGUUACAUGCUGUUCGUAUCGUCAAACUUUACAUUACGUAAAGUAACUAAUUGUCUCAUAUGAAUAAAUUCGGUUUUAAACUUGACAACCAGGUUUCAUAUCUAUAAAAUGCGCAAUCUUUGAUGUAGUAAAAUAGAUGGCGGUACCAUCGCAGAAUGUAUACGCGUUUUAGUUUACGUUGCGCUCGCAACUGUUUUGAUGUUUGUAUGGACCCGAGGGCUCCAUAUUGUUAGCUAAUUUCUAGUGUACUAGCUAAAUGACUAAACGAUACAAUUUAGAAUACUUAUAACACUUACCUCUGCGUUCUGAAAGGCCAGUUUACUGAAAAUAUAUUAAUCGUCGGUAAAUAUUAAAUUGCUGUGAUUGAUUAGACUUUUGUCAAUUAAGCAAAUUAAUUGUUACCUAUUCAAUUGGAUAAGCUACUGAUGAGCCUUUCAGAAACUUAGGUUAGUAUUCCGUUACGGUACAGAUGUGAAAUAAACUGAGGUUUUACCUCGUUGCUCUGAACCAAAGUAGUGAUAGGGUUGAAAUUGCGACAGCAUAAAAAGAACACUUUUCAAAUUAGGGCCAAGACACGCAAAUUACUAUAUCAUCAUAUUUAGACCAUCAUCAUAAUUAUGUUAUUACUAUAAUCCUAUUUUCUCUCAUGAUUUUCUUAAUAUUGUUUGUUUGUUUUGACUCCCAAGAAGUGUGCGUCGAAUUGUUACAUACUUUCUUAAGAUUGAUCAGAGAUCAAUCUUCAAUCAUUCAAUGUUUCGAUUCAAGACAGGAUCUCGUGAACACCAUUAACAUCACAAAUUGUAUGUUUACAAAUGUCGUUUGAACCAAGGUGCUAAUAUUUGAAUAUUUGUGCAGCACCUUUCUUAGCGCACUUACAAAUUCUUGAAAAGUGUUAUUUAUAAGUUUGUAUCGUAAUAAUCAUACAUCGAAGUCCAAUGUUACUUAACUUUUAUUAUGUAACAGUGGCUGUGGUAGACUUUACUGAAAUUAUCUUAUGUCUUACUGUGCUAUAAGGUAAAAGAUUUUCCUCAUUAAUUACAGUAAUAUAAACAAAAUUUAAUGGUAAGUAUUAUCGAUGCGACGAUUCUUUAUGCCGUAUGGCUCGACGGGUUAAUAAAGACGUGAAUUAAACAAAAAUGGAUGGAACGGUAUAAUUUGAUCUCUCUUAAUGUAAAUGUUUAUCUGCAUUUUAUUUUAUUAUUUAAAAUAGAGUUUAUUUAUUAACGGAACUAGGUUUCUCCGAAUGAUUCCAAAAAGUAAAGUAGUUUUAAAGAUAUCAAUUUUGAUUGGAUAUUCGUUGUUGGCGUUUGGAAGUCGGCUCACUUGCGACGUCAAUAUGUCAAGAAAUAAAGAAGCUGAAGUAUUUUAAUAAUUAAGUCUUAAGAAAUAUUGCAAUAACAAUAUCCAGAUUAGGUGAAUGCGAUUUGACCCUUAUGACAUGUUUUGGGUAGUUUUAGUAUAUUUAUGUGUGUGGGUAUGAGAAAUUGCAAGUAAGGUGUUGAUAUCAUAUUAUCUUCCCAUCGCCUUCUGUAGGACAUUAUUUUUAGCUGUUAUAUUUUAGGGUAUUUCUGUGCAUUCACUAUUUUGGCUCAAAUGUACAUAAGAUGUAAAAGUACAACUUGAUAUUGUAAUUAUAACUGAUUUAUAAUUUAAUUAAAUUCAAUAAAAUACAUUUUGAAA